CUGGCGGCAUGCCUUACACAUGCAGUCGAACGGCAGCACGGGAGCAAUCCUGGUGGCGAGUGGCGAACGGGUGAGUAAUAUAUCGGAACGUGCCCAGUCGUGGGGGAUAACGCAGCGAAAGCUGUGCUAAUACCGCAUACGAUCUCUGGAUGAAAGCGGGGGACCUUCGGGCCUCGCGCGAUUGGAGCGGCCGAUAUCAGAUUAGCUAGUUGGUGGGGUAAAAGCUUACCAAGGCGACGAUCUGUAGCUGGUCUGAGAGGACGACCAGCCACACUGGAACUGAGACACGGUCCAGACUCCUACGGGAGGCAGCAGUGGGGAAUUUUGGACAAUGGGCGCAAGCCUGAUCCAGCAAUGCCGCGUGCAGGAUGAAGGCCUUCGGGUUGUAAACUGCUUUUGUACGGAACGAAACGGCUCUUUCUAAUAAAGAGGGCUAAUGACCGGUCCCGUAAGAAUAACACCGGCUAACUACGUGCCAGCAG
rnacentral:rRNA from 1 species